UUCCAGAGUGUUGGCUGUGACACAAGGGCUACCAUCACUGAAUGCCCACUGUGUGCCCUGCACUGUGCUAAUGGUAAUAAUAACUGUGUUCAUUGAGCACUCACCAGGCACCAGGCUCUGCUUCUCAGAGGUUUUAUUAUUUAAUCCUCCCAGUAACCCAGGGAGGGAGGUGUUACCAUUUCUGUUUACAGGGAGAUUAAAACACAUGCUCCAAGUCACACAGCUGGAAAGUGGCCAAGUCAGAUUCGAAUCCACAGCUGACUGCCUAGCCUCAGAGCCUGCUCUCUCCUCCAUCACACUGGGCUGCUUUCCUUGGACAGGGAUGGAGGGGUCUGGAGGGCAACCCAGGCACCCGGCAAGCACCGGGGAACUGCCAGGCCCCUCGCCCCUUUGUGCUGAGGAAACUGAGGCUCGAAGAUACUCAGCUGCAGCCCCCAUCAGGCCCACACCCUGGCAGGAGCCCGCUCACCUGUAGCCUCGAUUCCCUGCGCGACGGGUUUUGCAGUCUCGGAAGAGUCUCCGCCCCCUGGCCCUCGACUCCACCGAGGAAGGACCACAUCACUCCCACGGUGCAGGUUCCCCCAUACAAAACUGAGCUCGGGGGACUGGGAGAAACCCCAAAGGAGAGCGGAGGUCAGGACUGUGGGGGGGGAAAUCCCUGGUCCGCGACAGCUACGCCGCCCCGCCUGGACUCGGGGUCCCUUGCCAGCCCCGUCUGCCGGAACUAGGCCGCCACCGGCCCGGCCACUGAGGUUCCUGACCCCCGCGCGGGCGCCACCUGCCGACAAAAGGCCAAGGCCACAGGGGCCGUUCUGCUUACGACGCCGUGGUGCCUGGGGCGGGGAGCCGGCAUGCCGGAGAAGCUCGCCUCGGCGCGCCUAUUGGCUGAAGGCGAUGCCCGUCCGGGCCCCGAGGCCCGGCAAUUGGCUGGUGGGGGCGGAGUUCGCGGAGCCCCAAUGAAUGGGGGGGAGCCGGAAGCAGGAAGUGAGUUUGCGAUCGGAGCAGCUGCUGCAGCAGGGCCCAUGGCGGACACCCAGUACAUCCUCCCCAAUGACAUCGGCGUGUCUAGCCUGGACUGCCGCGAGGCCUUCCGCCUGCUGUUACCCACAGAGCGCCUCUAUGCCCACCACCUGUCACGGGCUGCCUGGUAUGGAGGCCUGGCCGUGCUGCUGCAGACCUCCCCUGAGGCCCCCUACAUCUAUGCUUUGCUCAGCCGCCUCUUCCGUGCGCAGGACCCCGACCAGCUGCGCCAGCAUGCCCUGGCUGAGGGCCUUACCGAAGAGGAAUAUCAGGCGUUCCUGGUCUACACUGCAGGUGUCUACUCCAACAUGGGCAACUACAAGUCCUUUGGUGACACCAAGUUUGUUCCCAACCUGCCCAAGGAGAAGCUGGAACGUGUGAUCCUGGGUAGUAAGGCCGCGGAGCAGCACCCGGAGGAAGUCGGGGGCCUCUGGCAGACCUGCGGGGAGCUCAUGUUCUCUCUGGAAUCGAGGCUUCGACACCUUGGGCUGGGGAAGGAGGGAAUCACCACCUAUUUCUCUGGGAACUGUACCAUGGAAGAUGCCAAACUAGCCCAAGACUUUCUGGACUCACAGAACCUCAGUGCCUACAACACACGGCUCUUCAAGGAGGUCGGCCAGGAUGGGAAGCCCUGCUACGAGGUGCGGUUGGCUUCUGUGCUGAGCACAGAGCCUAUUCUGGACUCCGAAAUGAAUUCCAAGCUGAAGAGCUAUGAAUUCCAGGGAAGCAAUUUCCGGGUGACCCGGGGAGACUAUGCACCCAUCCUCCAGAAGGUAGUGGAGCACCUGGAGAAAGCCAAGGCCUAUGCAGCCACCAGCCACCAGGAGCAGAUGCUGGCCCAGUACAUAGAAAGCUUCACCCACGGCUCUAUCGAGGCCCACAAGAAGGGCUCUCGCUUCUGGAUCCAGGACAAAGCCCCCAUCGUGGAGAGUUACAUCGGGUUCAUCGAGAGCUACCGAGACCCCUUUGGCUCCCGCGGAGAGUUUGAAGGCUUCGUGGCCAUGGUGAACAAGGCCAUGAGUGCCAAGUUUGAGUGGCUAGUGGCAAGUGCGGAGCAGCUGUUGAAGGAGCUUCCCUGGCCCCCAGCCUUCGAGAAGGACAAGUUCCUCACCCCCGACUUCACCUCCCUGGAUGUUCUCACCUUCGCCGGCUCCGGCAUCCCUGCCGGCAUCAACAUCCCCAACUAUGACGACGUAAGGCAGACGGAAGGCUUUAAGAACGUGUCGCUGGGGAACGUGCUGGCCGUGGCCUAUGCCACACAGCGGGAGAAGCUCACCUUCCUGGAGGAGGAGGACAAGGACCUGUACAUCCGCUGGAAGGGACCCUCCUUUGACGUGCAGGUGGGGCUGCACGAGCUGUUGGGCCACGGCAGCGGCAAGCUCUUUGUGCAGGAUGAGAAAGGAACAUUCAACUUUGACCAGGAGACAGUGAUCAACCCAGAGACAGGGGAGCAGAUUCAGAGCUGGUACCGGAGCGGGGAGACCUGGGACAGCAAGUUCAGCACUAUUGCCUCCAGCUAUGAAGAGUGCCGGGCAGAGAGCGUGGGCCUCUACCUCUGCCUCAACCCCCAAGUGCUGGAGAUCUUUGGCUUUGAGGGGGCUGAUGCAGAAGAUGUGGUCUACGUGAACUGGCUCAACAUGGUUCGGGCCGGGCUGCUUGCUCUGGAGUUCUACACCCCUGAGGCCUCCAGCUGGAGACAGCAGGCCCACAUGCAGGCCCGGUUUGUGAUCCUGAGGGUCUUGCUGGAGGCCGGCGAGGGACUUGUUACCGUCACUCCCACCACAGGCUCCGAUGGGCGCCCAGAUGCCCAGGUCCACCUUGACCGCAACAAGAUCCGGACCGUGGGCAAGCCCGCCCUGGAGAGGUUCCUGCGGAGACUCCAGGUCUGACAUCAAUAGACGUAAUUCCCACGUGAAUGAUGGGCUGGAACUGAGCAUCAGCCACUGCGUUUGCACACUUGGACAUUUGGACAUGGUGUGACUCUCCAGUUUGCCGGGUCCACUACCUACCUGCCUUACUCACUUGUUCAUGAUAACACCUGGGUCCCGUCAGCACCCCUGUUGCCAACUCUUUGGUUUAAGCUCCUGGGGUCUAACCUGUCGACCUGAUGAAUGUGUGUUCACAUUCUGGGUGUUAAAUAUCAUGCAGAAGAGAGAAAGGUGCUGAAGUCCACAGGGGACGUGGCUGGAGGCCGGGCCCUGUAUGAGGGGUAUGCGGCGGUCACCGAUGCGCCCCCCGAGUGCUUCCUCUCCCUCAGGGACACAGUGCUGCUCCGUAAGGAAGCCCGGAAG